rnacentral:rRNA from 1 species
AGAGUUUGAUCCUGGCUCAGAGUGAACGCUGGCGGCAGGCCUAAUACAUGCAAGUCGAACGGCAGCACAGCAGAGCUUGCUCUGUGGGUGGCGAGUGGCGGACGGGUGAGGAAUACGUGGGAAUCUGCCCAGUCGUGGGGGAUAACGUAGGGAAACUUACGCUAAUACCGCAUGCGCCCUUCGGGGGAAAGCCGGGGACCUUCGGGCCUGGCGCGAUUGGAUGAGCCCACGUCGGAUUAGCUAGUUGGCGGGGUAAAGGCCACCAAGGCGACGAUCCGUAGCUGGUCUGAGAGGAUGAUCAGCCACACUGGAACUGAGACACGGUCCAGACUCCUACGGGAGGCAGCAGUAGGGAAUAUUGGACAAUGGGCGCAAGCCUGAUCCAGCCAUGCCGCGUGAGUGAAGAAGGCCCUCGGGUUGUAAAGCUCUUUUGUCCGGAAAGAAAAGCGCCGGGUUAAUACCCUGGUGUCCCGACGGUACCGGAAGAAUAAGCACCGGCUAACUUCGUG